AUGAGUUUAGGUCUGUCCUUCCUGGGCUUCUGUUGAAACAUGGCGGUGCAACUUGGCGGACUUGGAGAGAGGAUCUGCUCCCUAUGUAGAUAUAAACGUCUCAUUCUAAGAUAUGCAACGCUCUGCCAGGAAAAACAAUGUGGGGAAGACUCCUGACUCCUUGUUGAGCUACCCGAUGGAGUGAGUCAGGAACAACCUGUAUGAGCCCAGUGGGAGAGCCCUUCAGGUACGUUGAGAUGAAGUUCCCACGUUCACUAGGGUUCAGUUCCCUCUCUAAGGCCACCGCAGUGAGGGACUGGAGCAUCCACGGCCUGCCCUCUAACACAUUCUCAGCUGAGUCACCGGUCUGUACAUCUAAGUUGUCAUUAAAGGUCUAUUGACUGAGAUUAGCUGAAGUCCAGUGAGCACACUAAAGCAAAGACACUUUGAAAAUUAAGCAAACAAGAGCGUCCACUGUUGCACUCUGGGUGACUUUGGCCUUCCUGCAUUUGUUGUUAACAGUUUAACUUAACACAGUUAUUGAAGUACACAGCAAAUUAAACGAAGCAAACAGAGGAACAGCUUCACAACUGUAGGCAUCAGAGUCCUCGAAAUAUGCCCUUAUAUUCUGUCCUUGUGAGCGGCAGCAAGUAGGAGAAGUGAACAAAACGUUUUAAGCUUUUAUCAUGUAGCUUAAACAGUUUUCCUCUGGGCACAGUGUAUUUCUGUGCACUUUAUUUCUAUAGUAUACUUUAUCAAGUGCUAUAUACAAACAUAAGUUGCCUUGAUCAAGUUAUAUAGUGUUUUCCUCUUUUGAGAUGGCAGCUGAUGGUGGACCUUCAAGGCCAAGCUCUGUAGUGCAUCAACAAUAUGGAGCUAAAAACAGUAAGUGUUGGCUCAGCCAGUCUGCUAAUUAGGCCCAUGUAGACAUUCAUGUUCUGUCUUUACUGCUGCUAAGUUAAAUUUCUGGAGCAAAAAAAGUGCAUGCAGGGAAGUCGUAGUAUUGAGGACAUGGACUACAAUCUGUUAGUGUAUUUAUAGCAACCACAUUUUUGUAUUUUACACAUAGACUGCAUAUAAGAAGUGGACAUAGUCACCGUGACGUCGUUCAUUGCUUUUGUGUAAAGUUGUAAAGCCUUUAUUAUUGUGCCUACUUGAUUUAAAAUGUUCUUGUGGACAGCGUUUGCUUCGUGUUACAUUCCAGUCCGACCCAAGCAGCGCUUCCUUCCUUGUUUUUCCUGACAUGUACAACUGAAUCUGUGUCCUCUAGGACAAAUCAAUGUCUGUUUGCCUCUGGCUGCACAUUUCCAUCGACUUCCUAUGCACAUCUUGCCAGCUUUAAAUGUUGCUUUGCAUUGUAUGAUGCUGCUGAAGGGUAUGUGCUCCAUUUGUUAUUUAGCAACGCAGAACAGUUUUUUCACCAGUGUGAGGGGGCAACAAAUAGAAAGCUUGGAGCAGUUGAGGGUUUUAAUCCGUUGACAUAAUCAGGGGGACACCACCCGACCUCCGUUUACCACUUACGGCAAUCCCCAAUGUUGCUUCUGCCGCUGCUUAUACCUCCCAUGUUCUUUCACCACUCUCUCUCUCUGUCUCUCUCCGUAAAGCAGUUUAGCCUCAAACAUUAACAGGUUGAGGAAAGUAAUCUACGUGUUGAAAACAUGUUGACGAACACGAGAACAUGAGCCCGCGGACAGACAUUUAUAAUGGAGACCAGAUUGUCUUGAGCUGUUAUCAACCGAGGCAUUGCAGUGAAAUGCAUUAUGGUCAUAUUUAAGGACAGCUCUUGUUAUUUGAAGGGAUUUACUUUGACUGGAUAUCAGAUAAGCCAUCAGUAGUGGAAAGCCAGAGAAAGCUACAAAGAAAGUUUACAGAGGCUAAUAUGGCCUUCCUGUUUUCCAAAACUACUGUGACUUCUGUUUUCCCUCUCUCUCUCUCUCUCUCUCUCUCUCUCUCUCUCUGAACUCUUUCUUAAACUUAACUUUUUGUGUGUGUGCGUGCGUACAAUCUGCCACAUGCCUCUAAUUUACGCUCAAGUGGCAUUCAUCAUUCAGCACACCAGGUAAGUGGUAAUUUGGUGCAUCUGGAGUUGACUUCUCAUAAUUUUCUCUUAACAGAAAAUGUUGCUGCGUGAGGCCCGUUGUGUCAUUAAGUGACUCUGACGUUCUGUGUAUUCCUUUAGG